rnacentral:rRNA from 1 species
CACGUAGUUAGCCGUGGCUUUCUGAUUAGGUACCGUCAAGAUGUGCACAGUUACUUACACAUUUGUUCUUCCCUAAUAACGGGAGAGUUUUACGAGCCGAAACCCUUCAUCACUCACGCGGCGUUGCUCCGUCAGGCUUUCGCCCAUUGCGGAAGAUUCCCUACUGCUGCCUCCCGUAGGAGUCUGGACCGUGUCUCAGUUCCAGUGUGGCCGAUCACCCUCUCAGGUCGGCUACGUAUCGUCGCCUUGGUAAGCCGUUACCUUACCAACUAGCUAAUACGGCGCGGGUCCAUCUAUAAGUGAUAGCAAAACCAUCUUUCACUUUAGAACCAUGCGGUUACUAAAUGUUAUCCGGUAUUAGCUUCCGGUUUCCCGAAGUUACUCCCAGUUCUUAUAGGUACGGUUACCCAGGUUCGUUACGUCCACCCGGUCCGCCGUCUUAAACCUUCAAAGGAGCAAGCUUCCUUAUCUGUUCGCUCGACUUGCUAUGUUAUU